rnacentral:rRNA from 1 species
GUGGAUUAGUGGCGAACGGGUGAGUAACACGUGGGCAAUCUGCCCUUCACUCUGGGACAAGCCCUGGAAACGGGGUCUAAUACCGGAUAACACUUCUGCCUGCAUGGGCGGGGGUUAAAAGCUCCACCGGUGAAGGAUGAGCCCGCGGCCUAUCAACUUGUUGGUGGGGUAAUGGCCUACCAAGGCGACGACGGGUAGCCGGCCUGAGAGGGCGACCGGCCACACUGGGACUGAGACACGGCCCAGACUCCUACGGGAGGCUCAGUGGGGAAUAUUGCACAAUGGGCGAAAGCCUGAUGCAGCGACGCCGCGUGAGGGAUGACGGCCUUCGGGUUGUAAACCUCUUUCAGCAUGGAAGAAGCGAAAGUGACGGUACCUGCACAACAAGCGCCGGCUAACUGCGUGCCAACCGCCGCGGUAAUACCUACGGUGAAGGCUUUGUCCGGAAUUAUUGGGCGUAAAAAGCUCGUAGGCGGCUUGUCACUUCGGAUGUGAAAGCCCGGGGCUUAACCCCGGGUCUGCAUUCGAUACGAGCUAGCUAGAGUGUGGUAGGGGAGAUCGGAAUUCCUGGUGUAGCGUUG